UGACUCUAGCUUGCAUCAAGUUGACCAAAAAU
rnacentral:piRNA from 1 species